rnacentral:rRNA from 1 species
UGGGGAAUUUUGCACAAUGGGCGAAAGCCUGAUGCAGCAACGCCGCGUGUGUGAUGAAGGUCUUCGGAUCGUAAAGCACUUUCGACCGGGACGAACAACCUCUGGGUAAUUCUCAGGGGCCUGACGGUACCGGGAGAAGAAGCACCGGCUAACUCUGUGCCAGCAGCCGCGGUAAUACAGAGGGUGCAAGCGUUGUUCGGAAUUAUUGGGCGUAAAGCGCGUGUAGGCGGCUUGUUAAGUCGGGUGUGAAAGCCCUCAGCUCAACUGAGGAAGGGCGCCCGAAACUGGCGAGCUUGAGUGUCGGAGAGGAUGGCGGAAUACCCCAAGUAGAGGUGAAAUUCGUAGAUAUGGGGUGGAACACCGGUGGCGAAGGCGGCCAUCUGGACGACAACUGACGCUGAGACGCGAAAGCGUGGGGAGCAAACAG